rnacentral:rRNA from 1 species
UACGUAGGGUCCGAGCGUUGUCCGGAAUUAUUGGGCGUAAAGGGCUCGUAGGCGGUCUGUUGCGUCGGGAGUGAAAACUUACAGCUUAACUGUGAGCGUGCUUCCGAUACGGGCAGACUUGAGGUAUUCAGGGGAGAACGGAAUUCCUGGUGUAGCGGUGAAAUGCGCAGAUAUCAGGAGGAACACCAGUGGCGAAGGCGGCGACCUGGACGGACACUGACGCUGAGACGCGAAAGCGUGGGGAGCAAACAGG